rnacentral:rRNA from 1 species
AUAUACUCCAUAGAUAAUAGACACUGGAAUGUGCUUUAGUCGAAAGUUCUGGCGCCUUAGGAUGGAUCUGCGGUCGAUUAGGUUGUUGUUGGGGUAACGGCCCAACAAGCCUGUAAUCGAUACGGGUUGUGGGAGCAAGAGCCCGGAGAUGGAAUCUGAGACACGAUUCCAGGCCCUACGGGGCGCACCAGGCGCGAAAACUUUACAAUGCAGGAAACUGUGAUAAGGGAACUCCGAGUGCCCGUAUACGCGGGCUGUCCAGGUGUUUAAAAAUCAUCUGAAGAAAGGGCCGGGCAAGACCGGUGCCAGCCGCCGCGGUAAUACCGGCGGCUCGAGUGGUGGCCACUAUUAUUGGGCUUAAAGCGUCCGUAUCUGGACCGAUAAGUCUCUUGGGAAAUCCGCCGGCUCAACCGGCGGGCGUCUAAGGGAUACUGUUAGUCUAUGGACCGGGAGAGGUGAGAGGUACUCCGGGGGUAUGAGUGAAAUCCUGUAAUCCCCGGGGGACCACCGAUGGCGAAAGCAUCUCACCAAACGGCUCCGACAGUGAGGGACGAAAGCUGGGGGAGCGAACCGGAUUAUAUACCCGGGUAUUCCCAGCCGUAAACUAUGCGCGUUAGGUGU